rnacentral:rRNA from 1 species
CCUACGGGUGGCAGCAGUGAGGAAUAUUGGUCAAUGGACGAGAGUCUGAACCAGCCAAGUAGCGUGAAGGAUGACUGCCCUAUGGGUUGUAAACUUCUUUUAUAAAGGAAUAAAACGAGGCACGUGUGCCUUUUUGCAUGUACUUUAUGAAUAAGGAUCGGCUAACUCCGUGCCAGCAGCCGCGGUAAUACGGAGGAUCCGAGCGUUAUCCGGAUUUAUUGGGUUUAAAGGGAGCGUAGAUGGGUUGUUAAGUCAGUUGUGAAAGUUUGCGGCUCAACCGUAAAAUUGCAAUUGAUACUGGCAGUCGUGAGUACAGUUGAGGUAGGCGGAAUUCGUGGUGUAGCGGUGAAAUGCUUAGAUAUCACGAAGAACCCCGAUUGCGAAGGUAGCUUACUAAACUGUGACUGACAUUGAUGCUCGAAAGUGUGGGUAUCAAACAGGAUUAGAUACCCCAGUAGUC